rnacentral:rRNA from 1 species
GCCUACGGCCAUACCACCCUGAAAGCGCCUUAUCUCGGAAGCUAAGCAGGGACGGGCUUGGUUAGUACCUGGAUGGGAGAACGCCUGGGAAUACCAGGUGUUGUAGGCU